GUGGGGAAUAUUGGACAAUGGGCGCAAGCCUGAUCCAGCCAUGCCGCGUGAGUGAUGAAGGCCUUAGGGUUGUAAAGCUCUUUCAGUGGGGACGAUAAUGACGGUACCCACAGAAGAAGCCCCGGCUAACUUCGUGCCAGCAGCCGCGGUAAUACGAAGGGGGCUAGCGUUGUUCGGAUUUACUGGGCGUAAAGCGCACGUAGGCGGAUCGUUAAGUCGGGGGUGAAAUCCUGGAGCUCAACUCCAGAACUGCCUUCGAUACUGGCGAUCUUGAGUCCGGAAGAGGUGAGUGGAACUCCGAGUGUAGAGGUGGAAUUCGUAGAUAUUAGGAAGAACACCAGUGGCGAAGGCGGCUCACUGGUCCGGUACUGACGCUGAGGUGCGAAAGCGUGGGGAGCAAACAGGAUUAGAUACCCGUGUAGUCC
rnacentral:rRNA from 1 species